GUCAGAAUUGCAGAGUUUUCUAAGGUGCCAGACUCAAGAUGAAUUGAUCUUCUCAAGGUAUGAGAAUUCUGAUCUCCAGAUGGAGGCGUGGGUUCAAAUCCCACUUCUGAUA
rnacentral:tRNA from 1 species